rnacentral:rRNA from 1 species
UACGUAGGGGGCGAGCGUUGUCCGGAUUUAUUGGGCGUAAAGAGCGUGUAGGCGGCCAGGUAGGUCUGCUGUGAAAACUCGAGGCUCAACCCUGAAACUGCACUCGAUACUGCUCUGCUUGAGGACUGGAGAGGAGACUGGAAUUCACGGUGUAGCAGUGAAAUGCGCAGAUAUCAGGAAGAACACCCGUGGCUAAGGCGGCUCUCUAGUACGGUACUGACGCUGAGACGCGAAAGCGUGGGGAGCGAACAGG